rnacentral:rRNA from 1 species
UACGGGGGGAGCAAGCGUUGUUCGGAUUUACUGGGCGUAAAGGGCGCGUAGGCGGCCUCCGCAAGUCAGUUGUGAAAUCUCCGAGCUUAACUCGGAAAGGUCAACUGAUACUGCGGGGCUAGAGUGCGGAAGGGGCAACUGGAAUUCUUGGUGUAGCGGUGGAAUGCGUAGAGAUCCGGAAGAACACCGGUGGCGAAGGCGGCCUGCUGGGCAGUAGCUGACGCUGAGGCGCGACAGCGUGGGGAGCAAACAGG